CAAAUACUCCCUCCGUCCGGAAAUACUGGUCAAAGAAAUGGAUAAAAAUGGAUGUAUCUAGAACUAAAAUAUGUCUAGAUACAUCCAUUUCUCCGACAAGUAUUUCUGGACGGAGGGAGUAUUUG
rfam:Triticum aestivum genome assembly, contig: Triticum_aestivum_CS42_TGACv1_scaffold_500252_6BL